AGGACGAACGCUGGCGGCGUGCUUAACACAUGCAAGUCGAACGAUGAAGCCUAGCUUGCUAGGUGGAUUAGUGGCGAACGGGUGAGUAAUACGUGAGUAACCUACCUUUAACUCUGGGAUAAGCCUGGGAAACUGGGUCUAAUACCGGAUACGACCAAUCUCCGCAUGGGGUGUUGGUGGAAAGCGUUAUGUAGUGGUUAUAGAUGGGCUCACGGCCUAUCAGCUUGUUGGUGAGGUAACGGCUCACCAAGGCGGCGACGGGUAGCCGGCCUGAGAGGGUGACCGGCCACACUGGGACUGAGACACGGCCCAGACUCCUACGGGAGGCAGCAGUGGGGAAUAUGCACAAUGGGCGCAAGCCUGAUGCAGCGACGCCGCGUGGAGGGAUGACGGCCUUCGGUUGUAAACCUCUGUUAGCGAGGAAGAAGGAGAGACUCGACGGUACCUGCAGAGAAGCGACCGGCUAACGUACGU
rnacentral:rRNA from 1 species